ACGAGUGUGUUUUUGGAGUUGGUUCACGUAGGCUGUAGGCAUAAGCAAAGCCAGAAAACUGAUGUAUUUAUGUUCUAGGGCCUAGGCGGCCGCCUAGGCGCAUCAAAGCCGUUCGGAUUUUGGCCUAAUCGAUCUGUCUGGUCUUUUCAGUCGAAUAGCGUCGAACUCUUGGUUGCUCUCUACCUCAAGCAGCAAAGCAGAAACUGAUCUUGGUUACUUUCUGGGUUCGAUUUCUGAUUCUUCAAGCUUAAAGCCCCUUUCUGAACAUCUCCAUUAGUUGAUCGAGCUGUUUUGGACUUUGGUUACUGAUUGAAAUUGGAUUGUAUUGUAUCUGUUUUGAAAUUUGGCAUCUGUUUUGCCAGUUUUGGAUGGGAAUUGAAUUGCAUCUGUUUUAGUAAUUUGGAUGGGAAUUGAAAUUGUAUCUGAUAUACAAUUGUGGACAAAUGCACACUGAAAACUAAUUGUAUCUGAUAUCGACAUAUGGUAGGAAAUUGCAUCUGUUUUGGUAUGCUCUGUUAUGACUUGUAACUUAUGCUCAGUUUUGGUUACUGGUUAGUCAAUGAUAUCGCUCAGUUUUGUUAUUUGUUAAUUGUUAGUCAAUGAAUCAAAGAUAUUGCAUCUGUUUUGGUAAUUUGGUUAGUUAAUUGGUGAGUUAUAAACUUAUAUAUAGAAAUGGUUGUUGAAUGUUCUUUUUUAGAAAUGGUGCAAAUGGUUGUGUUUUUGAGUGCAUCAGAUAAUCAGCCAUCCAUUAUGUUAGACAGUGAGGUUGAGGCAGAGAAUGGUAAUAAGGACUGCAAAGAAAGUGAGCCUCCAAGCCUCUUGAGUGAGAAGGUACUUGCCAAAAAGACAAGGUUCAUGGCGUGAUCGCAUACGCCACAACAAUUGACACGGAUGGAUGGCGUGGAAAAGGUCAUUGAGGACCUGAUUCUGAAUCACUAACGAGCCGAUGGUUGGGGUCAGAAACUGUGGCCAAGGGAGUGUCGUGAAUCCGUGCAUGCUACGUUCAGUUUUCAUAUGAACUUUCAUGGUGGAGGCAUCACCGUGGAGAGGAGAUGCAUUGAAAUUAAAAGGAAAAAGCUUCUAUCUCCCACGAAACUGCACAGGCCCGGCUUCAGUUAUGCCAUAUUAUUAGUGUUUCGCUCAAAAGCAGCAUACCAGCUAAUUUGUGUUUCUCAUUGCAUCAUCUGGCUGGCUUUUGUGGUGUGAGAUGAAAUGCCCAUAGCAGUGGUCUUGGUAGUCUUUAGAGUUAGACUUCCUGUAUUAUAUUUGUAAACCGACUACUUGGCUCUGCACAUCAUAGAGUUGUCUGACAGGUCCCUGAAAACCUGAUUUGUGUAUCCUGUAAUUCCAAUAUGCUAGCUAGGGAGGUACUAGUUUAAUUUAGUCUGUUAUUGUCGAAUUUUAUGUAUCCUUUAAUUCCAAUAUGGUUCUGUAGGAUUUUCUCUGACGGAUUAUGAUCAGAGAGUGAACAUGUAAAUCAAAA